rnacentral:rRNA from 1 species
AGAUUAAGUUAUUAAGGGCGCACGGUGGAUGCCUUGGCACUAGAAGCCGAUGAAGGACGUUACUAACGACGAUAUGCUUUGGGGAGCUGUAAGUAAGCUUUGAUCCAGAGAUUUCCGAAUGGGGAAACCCAGCAUGAGUUAUGUCAUGUUAUCGAUAUGUGAAUACAUAGCAUAUCAGAAGGCACACCCGGAGAACUGAAACAUCUUAGUACCCGGAGGAAGAGAAAGAAAAUUCGAUUCCCUUAGUAGCGGCGAGC